GAUGAACGCUAGCUACAGGCUUAACACAUGCAAGUCGAGGGGCAGCAUGAACAAAGCUUGCUUUGUUUGAUGGCGACCGGCGCACGGGUGCGUAACACGUAUCCAAUCUGCCCGCGGCUCGGGGAUAGCCCAUCGAAAGAUGGAUUAAUACCCGAUGGCGUGGUCACUCCGCAUGGGGUUUCCACUAAAGGUUUUCCGGCCGUGGACGAGGAUGCGUAUGAUUAGGUAGUAGGCGGGGUAACGGCCCACCUAGCCUCCGAUCAUUAGGGGUUCUGAGACGAAGGUCCCCCACACUGGAACUGAGACCCGGUCCAUACUCCUACGGGAGGCAGCAGUGAGGAAUAUUGGUCAAUGGGCGAGAGCCUGAACCAGCCAAGUAGCGUGAAGGAAGACUGCCCUAUGGGUUGUAAACUUCUUUUGUUCGGGAAUAAAGUGCAGUAUGUAUACUGUUUUGUAUGUACCGUUCGAAUAAGCAUCGGCUAAUUCCGUGCCAGCAGCCGCGGUAAAAC
rnacentral:rRNA from 1 species